AUGUCCUACGGGGGGCAGCAGUGGGGAAUAUUGCACAAUGGGGGAAACCCUGAUGCAGCGACGCCGCGUGAGUGAAGAAGUAAUUCGUUAUGUAAAGCUCUAUCAGCAGGGAAGAAAAUGACGGUACCUGAGUAAGAAGCCCCGGCUAACUACGUGCCAGCAACCGCGGUAAUACGUAGGGGGCAAGCGUUAUCCGGAAUUACUGGGUGUAAGGGGAGCGUAGACGGUUAAGUAAGUCUGGAGUGAAAGGCCGGGGCCCAACCCCGGGACUGCUCUGGAAACUAUUGAACUUGAGUGCAGGCGAG
rnacentral:rRNA from 1 species